rnacentral:rRNA from 1 species
GAUGAACGCUAGCUACAGGCUUAACACAUGCAAGUCGAGGGGAAACGGCAUUAAGUGCUUGCACUUUUUGGACGUCGACCGGCGCACGGGUGAGUAACGCGUAUCCAACCUUCCCAUGACUAAGGGAUAACCUGCCGAAAGGCAGACUAAUACCUUAUGGUCUUCACUGACGGCAUCAGAUGUGAAGUAAAGAUUUAUCGGUUAUGGAUGGGGAUGCGUCUGAUUAGUUAGUUGGCGGGGUAACGGCCCACCAAGGCAACGAUCAGUAGGGGUUCUGAGAGGAAGGUCCCCCACAUUGGAACUGAGACACGGUCCAAACUCCUACGGGAGGCAGCAGUGAGGAAUAUUGGUCAAUGGGCGAGAGCCUGAACCAGCCAAGUAGCGUGCAGGAAGACGGCCCUAUGGGUUGUAAACUGCUUUUGUAUGGGGAUAAAGUCAAUCACGUGUGAUUGUUUGCAGGUACCAUACGAAUAAGGACCGGCUAAUUCCGUGCCAGCAGCCGCGGUAAUACGGAAGGUCCGGGCGUUAUCCGGAUUUAUUGGGUUUAAAGGGAGCGUAGGCUGGAGAUUAAGUGUGUUGUGAAAUGUAGACGCUCAACGUCUGACUUGCAGCGCAUACUGGUUUCCUUGAGUACGCACAACGUUGGCGGAAUUCGUCGUGUAGCGGUGAAAUGCUUAGAUAUGACGAAGAACUCCGAUUGCGAAGGCAGCUGACGGGAGCGCAACUGACGCUGAAGCUCGAAGGUGCGGGUAUCGAACAGG